CGAAAGAUGGUGAACUAUUCCUGGCCAGGAUGAAGCCAGAGGAAACUCUGGUGGAGGUCCGAAUCAUUUCUGACGUGCAAAUCGAUUGUCAGAGCUGGGUAUAGGGGCGAAAGACUAAUCGAACCAUCUAGUAGCUGGUUCCCUCCGAAGUUUCCCUCAGGAAAGCUGGCGUUCAAUAUGAUUUUCAUCUGGUAAAGCGAAUGAUUAGAGGUGUUGGGGACGCAAUGUCCUCAACCUAUUCUCAAACUUUAAAUGGGUGAGAUGUCAAGCUUUCAUUAUUGAAGCUUUGGCGUAAAAUCAGAGUGCCAAGUGGGCCAUUUUU
rnacentral:rRNA from 1 species